AGUCAAAUGUGAACCAACAUGAGAGAGCUUUGGUUUGCAAUGGUGUGGGAAUGGGUUUUUAUUCAACCAGCUGGUAGGGCUGGGAUGUGGAAAAGAGGUGCAGAGAGAGUAACAACCCAUUUCAAAUGAGCUUUUUGUUCAUGUGGACUGCAGGCAGAGGGAAGAGGGCUGAAGGCACAGAGGGUCACAGCAGCAAGAGUGGAGCUGUCCCAGGGUGAGGUCACCCUGAGUUCUUCCCUCCUGUCAUGGCUCUGUGCAGCAGUAGUCUGUCUGCUUUGGGAGAAGAGGUUUUAAUUGGUACAGCAGUGACAUCCAUGCAUGUCCUGAGGCUUUUCAGUUGAUGGCCCAAUGAUCUUCUCUGAGGCACAACUUUACACAGCUCUCUUGCUGUGGAAAAUGGUCAGAGCAGUACAGGUCAAGGCAGAGACCCCAAGGAUGGCCCUGAAAUGUCCCCCAAGGCUGGAUGUGUCCAGCUAAUUUGACUGUGAGAUGCCCUGUGCUGCAUUCAGGACGAGCUGUCACUGCUUCCCUGAGGGGCACUGCUCAUACUGGGCUCGCUGCACCAAGGUCAGCACAGCUCCCUUCUCCUUGGGCAGCUCCACAUCUUGUGGCUGUCUCUGCACUAUGCACAAGGAAGGUUAUGCUGGAGAGGAGGGAGGGGACAGGAUGGGAAUGAGGAUGGGGACAAGAUGGGGAUGACAUGGCAGGACAAAUAUUGUUUGCUGGAACAGAGUAUCUGGAAACAAUCACAGAGGCCCAACUGUUUGAGUGGGUGCAGGAGAGCAGAGGUUGGCAGUGGCCAUUGCAGGGACUUGCAGGCAGGGCUACACCAUAAUUUAAUGCAAACUGCUGACUCAUUCCUGUUCCAAAUCAUGCUCCUCUGGUGGCACAGCAGGGCAGCUGGCAGCAGGAAAGAGAGUGGGUUUCACUGCUUUCAGGCUGCUUCUUAGAUAUUUGGAUGCAUGUGGGAGAAAACCAGGCUGCUUGUUUUCUGAGCAAAAAAAUAGAAGAAAAGAUUAGUCUCCUUUGUUAGCAGGAAAUCUGGCCUUGGAGUCCUCCACAUUGCAGGUAGAACUGGAUGAAUAGGGGGCAAAAGGCAGGGCAAAGCUGAUGAGAAGGAUGCUAGAAGGACAUCAUUGCCCAGCUGAGUACCCCAGUCUGGGGCUCUGACGCAUUUUCCAGGGAAGGUGACAGACUUCCCUUCCUGGAGGGCAGCCCUGGCAGCACCACCCCUCCUUCCACCACCUAGACAUGUGUCCAACCCUCCUUAAGCCCCACGGAUGCAGACUGCAGCCCUUCUUCUCUGCUGCUGCAGUGCUGGGUGCUUUCACUUGUCCUUUUGAGCUACUGACUCUGCUUUGAUGACGCUUAAGCCCAAAAUUUCUCUUCUCUCUGUAGCAGCCUGCCUUGUUCCCUGCAGGACUGGGGGUUCCACCACCAUGCACUAUUUGCCUGCCUCACAGACCCUGCUGCAGAUGGGAAACUACAUAAAUCCAUCAAUAUCUAAAGCCUCCCCCACUGCACACACUCACAAGCCACAGCCAGUGCUCAGCCUGCUUUUUCAUCCCUGUUAGCAUGAGAUUUCAUGGUCCCAAGCUCCUGGUGGGAUGUGCCAUCAUGGACAAACUGCCCAUUGCAACUUUCCUAUCUUUGGCAAUGGGCAGAGCAGAAAACCUGUGGAAGAAGUCCCUGUUCCAAAACACAGCCCUGAGUGCCCUUGCCUUUGCAGGACACCAUCGGGCAGCUGGAGGAUGACCUGCGAAACACCAAAAAUGAGAUGGCUCGGCACCUGAGGGAGUACCAAGACCUGCUUAACGUCAAGAUGGCCCUUGAUAUUGAGAUAGCUGCCUACAGGAAGCUGCUGGAGGGAGAGGAGACCCUCUUCAACAUGGGAAGCGUUGGCCUUCCAGCACUCAAUUCCCUCCCCAACCCUACUUAUUCCUUUGAGCCAAGAAGCUUUAGUUCCUCUACUCUGUCCUUCAAGGAGGAGGAGCAAGGAGAGGUUAUUAAAGUGACCUCUAAAAUAUCAUCCAGCAGGGCUGAGGUGAUUGAGGGGACCAUAACCUCUGUCAAGAAAAGAGGGAGGUUAAACCUGCAUGGAGGAAUCAUUGCAAAUGCAAAAAUGUAACCACUGGGACCCUGUUCAUAUGCAUUUGAGGGGGAACAGUCUCCACUCGGCCUUUAAAUUGCUUCUCUGGGCAUGAAGCCACACUGAACUCAUGGGAAGCCCCCCUUAGAAACACAUAACUCCCCAGAGACACUUACCCAGGGAUGGCUUCCCUGUGGGUCCCGCCACGCAGAGGCCGAGCUUGGCACAUUGCUCCCUUUUAAAUGGGGUGGAGGCACAGCAGAACAGGUAAAUAGAUGCAUGUUGGUUGUUGUUGUGGUAGCACAUGGAUCCAUAGCACCCUCCCUCCCUCCUCCUGUGGCAGGCAAGGGGGAGCUGGCUGGGCCUGCUGCUGAGCCAGCUCUCUGGGGAAGGAAACAACUCAACAUGUUUACUAUCACUAGUUUCAAGGCACCAGACCUUCAUCAACUACACAAAUCCAUGUACAGAUAAACUCUUCCCCACUCCUCAAGUUGUAGCCGUCCACUUUUAAUCCUAGAAGCACAGAAAUAGCCAUACUGGACUGUAACCACACCUGAGGUCUGGUCUGAGCCACGUAUGUUUUGAACUAUGAGUGUUAAUUUUUUUUUGUCCUGACAACUCUUGUUUUCUGGCAGCUUUAGUCCAGCCAAGGCAUGUGGGGUUUAUAAGCAGCAGGCAGAGGGCAGGGAACUGGUACACCAGAGGUGAAAGCACCACUGUGGCACAGGGUAUACAGCACCUCAUCUGGUAUCACUGGCUCCAAAAUGUCAGGGUCUGAAGGACCCUUGUUUGGCUGCACAGUCUUCACAGGGAAAACCAGUGCCCAGAUUAGCAUCAUGCCCCAGCCGGCACUGGGAAGCUGCAGGACUCCUGAACACCAGCCCACAAAGCAUCCUUGUCUCCGCUCUAACUGUUCCAAUGUGUGCCAAAUUUGAUAUAGGAUUUAACAACCAUAGGUUUCCUUCAAUGCCUUAAAUUGCCAGCGAUCGCUUUUGCAAGAGCCGGAGACUCUGCGUGUGCACGUGCUGCGUGUCAGUGCCCUGGCAAGGUUAUCAUCACGAGACCUCGCUGCCCUCGCGGCGGUGCCAGAGUAGUUCCUGGAACCAGCAAACUGUUUGCUCGCACUCUUUUCUCUUCUAUUGUAAGGCACAAGUUAAUAAUUAAAAAAAAGAGAUAUCUGUGUGGAUCAAA